rnacentral:rRNA from 1 species
GAUGAGCGCUGGCGGCGUGCCUAAUACAUGCAAGUCGAGCGAACGGACGAGAAGCUUGCUUCUCUGAUGUUAGCGGCGGACGGGUGAGUAACACGUGGAUAACCUACCUAUAAGACUGGGAUAACUUCGGGAAACCGGAGCUAAUACCGGAUAAUAUUUUGAACCGCAUGGUUCAAAAGUGAAAAACGGUCUUGCUGUCACUUAUAGAUGGAUCCGCGCUGCAUUAGCUAGUUGGUAAGGUAACGGCUUACCAAGGCAACGAUGCAUAGCCGACCUGAGAGGAUGGGGAGACACACUGGAACUGGACGCACGGGCAGACAACGACGGGAGGCACCAGGAGGGAAUAGUUGACAGAGGGCGCGAGCCUUACCAAGCCAUAACGCGUGAGUGAAGAAUGCCUUCGGGUCGUAAAGCCCUUUUGUGGGGCAAGAACAGAAGCAGGCUAAUACCCAGCUGUUAUGAGGGUACCCAAAGAAGAAGCAACGACUAACUUCGUG